GCAUGCAUUCCUCCUUUUUUUCUCCCGCAGGUUUUUUUUGACCCCUGGAUAUCCUUGCAGUGCAGAGAACACCUAACUGUGUGGUAUGUGGCGCUGCUGACAUGUUUGUGGUGCCAUAUGCCGCAUGGCCGCAUUUGUCUGGAUGCACCCUAUGUCUCUAUCUAUCUACGUCUAAGAGACUCAGAAAGCUGUGAAGCACCUAGUUCAUCUCAAUGGGAUGUUCCCAUCUGAAUGAGAACACUGGAUGGAGAUUAAUAGAGUUUGAAACAACAGUUCUGAAAAGUGUGACCUACUCCAUUAAACUAAGCAUCCAGACCCUGCAUCUGGAGGUCACUACCACAUAUGACAUAAUGGCUAUGGAUGAAUGUUAGUCUAGAAUGGACUUCUUUCUUUUGAGAGCAGAAAAUAAUUGGAUUAAACCCCUCUACCCUGAACUUCAAGGACAUAUUUUCUCUACCUCCAAGAAGCAGAAGGAUGUAAGAAUGUCCACUUCUUAUUUUGACAAAAUGGUGUGAAAAAGGGCCAGCCAAAAUAAAGUCUCCAUCCUACAGCGGGAGCUGCCAGCGUGCACCAGAUCCACUUUAACACCUUGCCAGGUGAAGCAGAUUGAUGGGUUGCAGCAGCUGGGGCAAUAUCCAGGGGCCGAGCAGAGAACCGGAGGGAGAGAGAGAAUGGAAGGCGGUGGGCAGAGUUGGAAAUGAUGCUGGAACUCGACACAAAUCUCCAGGUAAAGGACACAGAAAUGGGCUGCCACUGACUCCUGCCUUCAUCUAUGGAUCAGCUUUACAGCAGAGAGAGGAUUCAGGGACAUGAGACAGCAUGAGAAAGGUAGACGGGUCAGUGAAAAGGUAAGGUGCCGGGAACAGCAAUAGCACUUCUAUGUCUCCUACCACCCACUGGUUUUAUCUGUCCUGGACCUAGCAGCAGCUUUUCUCCUACCCCAGUCCCCUUCCAUGGCAUCUUGUUAUACAGUUUCCCUGCCUGGAAAUCUGCAGCAACUCUUUGUGGAGUAUGAGGAUUGGUGGGUCUCCAGCACAGAUGAAGUCCUAGGCAGUAGGAGUGAAGAAAAAUUAAAAUAAAAAUGAAGUAUUUGUAGGUAUUUGGACAAUUGUAGUGUGAUUUUUAAAACAACCUGAACACAUUAGUAUAAUUGUUGAAUAAUGUAUACAUUCAUGUACUUGAUCAAAAUAGUCAAAACAAAGUUAUAAAAUUAUUUUAAAUGUUUUGAAUGCAAGUGAAAUGAUUUUAUUCAAAAUGUUCAAGAGUUUUAAAACUACUGUGCUGCAUUAUAGAAAAUUCUGCUUAGAUUAAGGUUUUAUACUAAUUACUAGGAUGUUUAAUAUUAUUAAAACACUUAAAUGUCUAGAGAUUUGAAGGUUAAUCUCUCUUAAAACAAAAAAAGAAAAAAGAAAAAGAAUGCUUCAUGUUUCUUGCAUGUUCAUUGUUAAUUUUCCAGUGUAUACAGUCUGGUUCUAAAAUGCAUACAAUUUAUAUUUUAUUCAUGUUUUAACUGCAUAAAUAUGUUUCAUGUGCAUUAUGUUCAGAGAGCUUUCCACUGAGUUGUGCAAUACCCAUGUAUAAGAAUUAUAAAAGUACUCCACACUUUUUUCCUUUCCAUAAGUACAUUUUUGAAGGAAUAAUUUUAAGAAGAUAGGCAUCCUAUCAAAGAUUGCAUCGUCUCAGUUAUGAUUAUCCUUAAAAUAUAUGCAUAUAUUUAAUAAGCCUCUUGCAUCUGUAUCACUGCAGAAAACCAUCUUUUACAGCUCUUAAAAAACAUCACACAUGCUGCCACAUAUUUAAACCAGAAUGGUUACUGGUAUCAUUCAGUAAGGAAAACAAAGGUUUGAGAAACAUGCCUAUUGUGCAGCCUAAUAUGAAGAUAUCUGUAUCAGCAAUUUGGCAUUAACGAUUUAAGGAAGUAUCUGACAGCUUCAAAACACAUAACCUGUGUAGUAUCAGUCUCUGCAUAGCAGAAUAUAAAUUCUGUUAUCCUCCAGCAGUCAUUCGAAAGAGGUUAAUUUUCCUGAAAUGCUGUUUUGUCGAGAAUGACAUAGCAUGUCAUUCCCCAUGACUUCGCUAAUCAUUUCAUCAGGCUGAUUAAAGUGAUGUUUUUCAUCUUUCCCAUCACACAAAUUUGGAAGAACAAAACAGUCCAACACCAGAUAACUGUCAGAAUAUCAUAUACAGUCAGCUAUGAACCAUGCCAGGUGAGAACCUUUUGCUGUAAUGAUUCAAGCAACCACAAGGAGAUUUGUAU